rnacentral:lncRNA from 1 species
UCCCCGGGCACCUCCGCGGGCACAUGAGGAGUCCCUCCGGUCGCUUAUUUUCCGUCGCCGACGCAGCGCAAUGACGUAGCUUCCCCGACAUUCCGUGCCCAAGAUGGCUGCAGUCGGCAAGGAGAGACGUCGCUAAGGGGC